GAUGAACGCUGGCGGCGUGCUUAACACAUGCAAGUCGAACGGAGUUGUUUCGCUGACGAGACUUCGGUCAAAUCUUGAAACAACUUAGUGGCGGACGGGUGAGUAACGCGUGGGUAACCUGCCAUAUACAGGGGGAUAACACUUAGAAAUAGGUGCUAAUACCGCAUAAGCGCACAGAGCUGCAUGGCUCGGUGUGAAAAACUCCGGUGGUAUAUGAUGGACCCCGCGUCUGAUUAGCUAGUUGGUGAGGUAACGGCCCACCAAGGCGACGAUCAGUAGCCGGCCUGAGAGGGUGAACGGCCACAUUGGGACUGAGACACGGCCCAAAACUCCUACGGGAGGCAGCAGUGGGGAAUAUUGCACAAUGGGGGAAACCCUGAUGCAGCGACGCCGCGUGAGUGAAGAAGUAUUUCGGUAUGUAAAGCUCUAUCAGCAAGGAGAAAAUGACGGUACUUGACUAAGAAGCCCCGGNUAACUACGUGCCAGCAGCCGACGG
rnacentral:rRNA from 1 species